CACUGAGGAACAUAACAGAGCUGAUGACAUCACUGAUGACAUCAGCAUCAUCAAUGAUGCUGAUGUCAUCAGUGAUGUCAUCAGCUCUGUUUCCCAGC